UUAUUUUCAUUUAACUUUUUGAUACACAAUACCCUGUUGGGGCAACUUAAUGGCUGCACUUUGUUCUGCACUAUGUUCCACCACUUUAAGACAAAUGGAUUUGUUGUGUUUUCUUACUUAAG